rnacentral:lncRNA from 1 species
AUCCUUAGCAAGCCUCUCAACAGUGUACUCUUCAGGAUUCUCCUUAUGCAACCGAUACAUCUCUGCCUUCUCUGAAUCCUUAAGGUAGGAUCCUCUGGCUCCAGGCUCCUCCACUUGCUUCAAUAGCACACUUGUCUCCAGCAAUCUCUGCUCCCAUCCGUCAACGAAAAAUUUCCCCUUCCUGUUUUCAGCAUCCAGUUCUUUUAUCCUAUCGUCAAUCUCUUGCAGCUCAGAUAUCACAGGAGACUGGGAAGAAGAAGAAGAACUAGCCCUCUUCCCCACCGUCUCACCGUUGAAAUGAUCCUUGGCCAAUCCAGUCGACCAUGAUGAAACGGAGUCCCAACCU